AGAAAAUGUAAUAUUAGUAUUUGUAUGCACAUAAAACUUUUAAAAUUUAUAAUCUUAAACAUGUCAUAACAUUUGUACGACAAGAAUUUUUUAUUAAAAGUAAAAUAAAAAAUAAAAAAAAUUAUGGUUAAAUUUAAAAUGAAUUAUGAAAAAAAAAAGGGAAAUAAAGCAUAAUAUAUUACAAGAAAAGAAAGGGAAAAUAGGAAGACACAUAACAAACCCAGCUAGGAAGAAAGUGGCGGGAAGUUAGUUGAUUAGAGACAAGACUGGUAGAAACAGAAAAGGCCCCGAGUACCCCCACUUCCUUGCCCCGAAAAACUUGCAACAGAUUCACAUUUUCGUUGACUACGUGGCAUCAACAAACUAUAACAAUUCACCAUUCCAAUAACUAUAAAACUAAAAAAAAAAAAAAAAAACGCGAGGGAAAAAGAAGAAGAGCUACGCUACGUAUAUAUUACGCGCAUUUACGUACUGCUCACAGAAAAAGGAGAGGGGAAAUUAAACAGAAAGAUUCACACACUAACGAAAUUCUCAUUUCGGUUCUAGAAGUUUCGAUCCGAAUAACUUUUAGUAUCAAAUUUUGCUUAUAGAAGAAUCAACGUAACGAACGCUUCGCUUUUGCUAUGGUAUUUCCUCUGUUAUUCUGAUUACGGAGCCAUAAUCGACUUAGGCAACAUCUUCCUAUGGAGGAACCAUGGGGGCUAUUUUGCUGUGUACCGGAUGUUUGGUAUUGUGAUGAUCAAAGAGCUAGAGUUCAUAUAACAGCUUAAUGAACAACCUACAGAGGAACAGUCUCGGAGAGAGGAAUGUGGAACAGGCCAUUACAGCCUUAAAGAGAGGAUCACACCUACUGAAGUAUGGACGCAGAGGAAAGCCAAAGUUCUGCCCUUUUCGUCUUUCUACUGAUGAAACAACACUGAUAUGGUAUGUUGAAAAGGAGGAGAAACAGCUUCAAUUGAAUCAGGUUUCAAGGAUUAUUCCCGGUCAACGAACUGCAAUUUUUCAGCGGUUUCCGAGACCUGAGAAAGAAUAUCAGUCAUUUUCACUUAUAUACGGCAAAAGAUCCUUGGAUUUGAUCUGCAAAGAUAAGGAAGAGGCAGAAGUCUGGUUUGUUGCUCUCAGGGCCUUGAUAUCUCGGGUUAACUGUCAAAAGUGGACAAGGGAUAUAAGACAUGAUGCCGCAUACUCUGAUGGUUCAACUUCUGUGACACAACGAAGUUUGUCAAGUAGUAGUGGAAGCAGCAGUACACCCUAUGAGGACCCAAAGAAAAAUCAAUUGUGUUCAGUACCAUCUCAGAGUCCUCCAAAAAAGAGAUUAGAAAGAGCAUUCUCUGACUUUUUACUGUAUAAUUCAGCCGCAAAAUGUUCUUCCCAUAGAGAGUUUGCCGCUAGUUCCCUCAACUCAAGAUCAUACGGGAACUUAGAUGAUGAAAUUGGGCGGAGCUCUACAGAUACUGUCCGAAUUAGUUUCUCCAGUGCCAUCAGUUCAUCUAGCCAGGGAUCUUUUUCCGCAAAUAUUGAUACCCUUUGUGACAUUUUAAUAUGGGGAGAAGGAAUUGGUGAUGGCCUGCUUGGUGGUGGGAUGUGUGGACUUGGAAGAUUUGAAGCUGCAAGAAGGGAUGCACCUUUGCCGAGGAUGUUGGAAUCAGCAUUACUACUUGAUGCUCAAUAUGUUGCUUGUGGGAGCAGACAUGCCAUACUAAUCACAAAGCAAGGAGAGAUUUUUAGUUGGGGAGAGGGGUCAAGUGGCAGACUAGGCCAUGGAGUAGAAUCUGACGUUUCUAGCCCAAAACUUAUUGACACUCUCUGUGGGUUGAAUGUUACAUCAGCAGCAUGCGGAGAUUAUCAUACUUGUGCUACAACACUCAGUGGAGAUCUCUUUACAUGGGGUGACGGUACCUUUAACUUUGGCCUCCUUGGGCAUGAUACUGGAAUCAGUCACUGGACCCCCAAAAAAGUAAGGGGUCCUUUGGUUGGUAGGCAUGUCUCAUAUGUCUCUUGUGGUCCUUGGCAUUCAGCUGUUAUAACAUCAGUUGGCCAACUUUUUACUUUUGGUGAUGGAACAUUUGGUGCUCUAGGUCAUGGGGAUCGUAGUAGCACUGGCAUACCUAGGGAAGUUGAAACUCUACAAGGACGAAGAACAGUUAGAGUAUCAUGUGGGCAUUGGCACACUGCAGCUGUGGUAGAGCUUUCUUUUGAUGAUUCUGGUUCUAAUAACUCCCCACCUCGGAAGCUUUUCACCUGGGGAAAUGGGGAUGACGGACAACUUGGACAUGAAGAUACUGCUUCUAGACUCACUCCAUGCAACGUCGUACAGUUGGAUGAGAUUAACUUCAGUAGAGUAGCCUGUGGCCAUAGUAUUACAGUUGCUCUGACAACAUUAGGAAAAGUAUAUACAAUGGGGAAAGCUGAUUAUGGGCAGCUAGGAAUUCCUGGAAGUACUGGGAAGUUUCCUUCUUGUGUUCAAGGAAAAAUUACAAAUCGUUUCAUCGAAGAAAUAGCUUGUGGCUCUUUCCAUGUUGUGGCCCUGAGCUCAAACUCUGAGCUUUACACGUGGGGAAAGGGAGGAAAUGGACAGCUUGGACAUGGGAAUAAUCAUGAUAGGAAUACUCCUACACUGGUUGAAGCGCUGAAAGCAAAACAAGUAAAGCAUGUGGUCUGCGGAAAUAAUUUUACUGCUGCCAUUUGUCUACACAGAGAGGUGUCUAUUGCUGAUAAUUCCAUUUGUGCUGGAUGCCAGAGUCCAUUUAAUCUCAGACGAAAACGUCACAACUGCUAUAACUGUGGGCUUGUCUUUUGCAAAGUGUGCACCAGUAAAAAAUCUGUAAGAGCUUCUUUGGCUCCAAAGAUGAAUAAACCUCAUCGUGUAUGUGAAGAUUGUUUUAGUAAAUUGAACAAGGGCUUGGAUACUGGAUUGACCUGUCUACCACCGAAGGCCACUAUUGGAAGCUUACAGAAGAAUACUGGCGAGAAGGGGAAAGAGAUCUCGCCUUCAGAACAAAAAGGCCUUCUCUCUAGGCUGUCCUCAUUCAAUUCAUUCAAAAGGUCUAACAAUCAACAUUUUAAAAAGAACCAGAAGCAAGAUUCAAAUUCUGACAAUGUCUCUCCAAUUUCUAAUGGCAAUACUCAGAGUGAAGUAUCUCGAACAUCAAGCCCGUUGAUGUCUUUUUCUGAUUGCCUUGAGAAAUUGUCUGUUUCUUUUGUUGGAUCAACAAGUCAUUCUCAAGCUGGUUCUUCUGCUUCUCUGGAAUCAAGUUCAUCUUAUUCUGUGUCAUUGAGAUCUUCUUUUGCUGCACAAGCAAAUCACGAAGUGGAUCUUGAUGAUUCGAAGCAAACAAGUGAAAGUCUGAAAAAAGAAAUUUCAAUAUUGAAGGAGCAGGUAGAGAUUCUCACCCAGAGAUCUCUAUUCUUAGAGGCUGAGCUUGAGAAAAAGUCAAGGCAGCUACAAGAGAAAACUGACGAAGCUAAAAUGGAAACAGACAAAAAUAAUGCUGCAAAGGAAGUCAUCAAAUCUCUAAUGACGCAGGUAAAGGGCACCACUGCAAGAGCACCUCAGGAUGGUUCUGCAGAAUAUCUGAUCCAUUCGAUGAUGACACCUACAGUGCCUUGAACCUUGUAUCUGAAGGACUAAGGAAUAAACCAACCAGCUCGGAUUUCAUCAUACUCCUAUUCUUUUUGCACUUAUCUGCUGAUCACAGAAGAUCUAUGGAAAAAAUUGGUUAGUUAUAAUCUGGAUGGAGUUUACUUCGGGGCCUAUUGCAUCAAUUUGAGGAUUCUCCUCCGGCUUGCUAUCAUGCAGAAAUCAUCCUAAUUUUUUAAGUUUCCACCGUAAAUGAAAGGAUCACAUCAGCAUUCAAUUGCAUCAUGUGAAACCACAAGUAUUGGAGAACUAUUUGAUAAAAAAUUUCUUAUCUCAAAUACAUUUUGAUGGAAGUUAUCUGCAUCCCUGUGUAUGUGCAGUUGGAGAUGUCAUCUAUGUUACUGAAAGUUUCAGUCGUGAAAAUCUGAGAAUAUGAGAUGCACGCCAACUGUUUCAAGGGCAGGAGUCUUAUUACCAGUAUGACGAUUUGAUACUAAAGAAGCUGUCUCUCUAUCAGAAAGUGUAUAUUCAAUUUUGCAUAUAGAGUGCAGCUAAUAUCCUUAGUACACAUUAGGAUGAACGGAAGGCUGAUGUGUCUAUGAUGAGUAGGUGAAAGGAAAAUGAAAAUGGCGACAAUAAUCAACAGACUGUGACAUGUACUUCCACGUUCGAAUUCAUUCAGCUGUUGAAGUACCUCUUCUUUCCCACUUCAUGCCGUUCUCUUUCUCCCAAUUGUGUAAAGAAGUACGAGGAAUUUUUUUUCUAAUGUCACUCCGAGGAUCUAGAUCUUUUCAAUUUUGACGAUGUUACUGUAGAAUAAAAGUUUUAACACUACGAGUAUUCUGAUCAAAUACAUAAAAGCAACUUAUUCAGUAGAA